GAUGAACGCUGGCGGCGUGCCUAACACAUGCAAGUCGAACGGAGUCCAGCCUUUAAGACCUUCGGGUCAAAGAGGGGAAGACUGAGUGGCGGACGGGUGAGUAACCCGUGGGCAACCUGGCUCAUAGAGGGGGAUAACAGAGAGCAAUUUCUGCUAAUACCCCAUAAGCACACACUGCCGCAUGUCAGAGGGUGAAAAGAGAAUCGCUAUGAUAUGGACCCGCGUCUGAUUAGCCAGUUGGCAGGGUAAGAGCCUACCAAAGCGACGAUCAGUAGCCGAUCGGAGAGGAGGAACGACUACAUCGGGAAUGAGACACAGACCAAACUGGUACGGGAGGGAGCAGAGGGGGAUAUUGCACAAGGGAGGGAAAUCUGAUGAAGCGACGCCGGGUGAGUGAAGAAGUAGGUCGGUAUGUAAAGCUCUAUCAGCAGGGAAGAGAAUGACAGUAACGGAAUAAGAAGCACCGGCUAACUACGUG
rnacentral:rRNA from 1 species